rnacentral:rRNA from 1 species
UGGGGAAUUUUGGACAAUGGGCGAAAGCCUGAUCCAGCAAUGCCGCGUGUGUGAAGAAGGCCUUCGGGUUGUAAAGCACUUUUGUCCGGAAAGAAAUCCUUGGCUCUAAUACAGUCGGGGGAUGACGGUACCGGAAGAAUAAGCACCGGCUAACUACGUGCCAGCAGCCGCGGUAAUACGUAGGGUGCAAGCGUUAAUCGGAAUUACUGGGCGUAAAGCGUGCGCAGGCGGUUUGCUAAGACCGAUGUGAAAUCCCCGGGGCUCAACCUGGGAACUGCAUUGGUGACUGGGUCAGGACGUAGAUGGCAUAUGGGCAAGGGGGUAGGGGGGUAAUGAAUUCCCACGGUGUGAGCAGUGAAAUGCGUAGAGAUGGUGGAGGAAUACCGAUGGCGAAGGCAGCCCCCUGGGCCAAAUACUGACGCUCAUGCACGAAAGCGUGGGGGAGCAAACAGGAUUAGGAUACCCCUGGUAGUCCACGCCCUGAACGAUGUCAACUAGUUGUUGGGGAUUCAUUUCCUUAGUAACGUAGCUAACGCGUGAAGUUGACCGCCUGGGGGAGUACGGUCGCAA